rnacentral:misc_RNA from 1 species
GUUCCAUCACACACGUGUCUUCCUACGCUGGGCGGUUACUCUCUCCCUCUACUUGUUUGUCUGUGGUGCUUGCGGUGUGCGUGAGCGCCUGAGUGCGUGAGUGCCAGCCGAAACAGGUAGCUCUUUACCACUUCAUCCAUUGGUCUCUCUCCACGCCCAACAGCACGCACGCUGACAUCCUCCCCACCGACUCACUCACGGCUCUGCUACCCUUCCCCUCCUGCAUACCUCCGUCCCCCAACCCCUGUUCAGUCUCUCACAAAAUCUUUUCAACACCACCGCCCUCUUCCCUUCCCUCUUUUCCGGCUUUCAUUCCUCAGCUGAGCAUCUUCCGUGCCCCUUCCGUGACUCACAGCGCGCCCUCUCGCCUCGUCUUCCGCUGCAUCUUCGACUCCACCGUUUGUGCUCCCCUUGCGGGCUGAUUUUGAAAUGAACCCCGCGAGUCACUCACAGGGUGGGGCCGCCGUGCCCCCCACGGUGACGGCGACAGCGGCCGGUAGCACCCGCGAGGAUCCGUGGCCGCAGAUGGAGAAGCAGGUAGGCGGCAUGCUGGCGGACUUGAACGCGCAGAUGCAGCGCUUCCGCGACACGGCUAUGCCCACCGUGAUCGCCGAAAACGAACUGCUGGAGGCUGUGGGCGGCUGCAGCGAAGCCGUGGAGGAUAUGCGCUUUGCCCUCGACACCGCCAUGGAGCACCCGGAGUCCUUCGCGAUCACUGCAGAGGAGCUGCAGAGCCGCGCAGAGCGCAUUCGCGGGUGGGAGCGAGACAUGAUGAAGGCCCAGCAGGUCGCAGAAAAGGUCAAGGCGGCGCAGCGCAAGCGCAUUAUGGCUCAGGACGGCGACAUCGGUGACGGCGGGGUGCGCGAGAACAGCGACUUCCUUCGUCAAGAGCAUGAUAUUCAACUAAGCAUGAUGCAGCAGGACGACCAGACGCUGGAUCGGCUGUCGAGCGGCAUCCAUCGCGUCAAGGACACCGCUGUGAACAUUCAGGAUGAGCUCAACACCCAAGAACACAUCCUCGACGACAUUGAUCGCGGUAUGACUCGUGUGCAGAUGCGCCUGGAGGGGGCCAUGAGGAAGGUCAGCAAGCUGAUUGACUCUACGAGUGAUAGAGGCAAGAUGAUCUGCAUUGCUGUUCUCUUCCUCAUCCUUGUGAUUUUGAUUUUAUUUGUCCUUCGGUAGUGCACAGAGGAGGGGGUCUCAGAGAGGAAGAAAGGAAGCCAGGGCGCAGCAGAGUAGUUACUUCUGUCAUGGCUCUUGUCAACGAGACGGAGGCGAGUUUUGGUCGGAGUAACCCCCCUCUGUCCUUCCUCAAAGGAAGAGGGGGGAAUGAAUGCGUCACCAGCGGUGUGUGUGCGUGUGUGCUUGUAUGCCCAUUUGCUGACCCUUCUUGCCAUUUUCUUGUUUCCUCUCACUGUGCGCGUAUCUUUCUCUCUCCCUCUGUCAGAAGUUUUGGCGCUGUCCGCUCUGUGCUUGUGCCUGUGUGCGUGCUCACGUUUGUGUCUUGGCCCUCUAUCGUUGAAGCACGCCGCAUGUCUCCCUUUCCCUCUCCCUCCCGCUAGCCACGUGGGCUGCCGCAUCCUCUCUCCAAUGCUUCCGAACGGAAAAGAAACGCGCACACGGCAUGUGCUCAUUGAGCAUAUUCUGGGCGCAGCGCCAGUCGGAGAAAGAGAGUGUGUUGUGCGCGUGUGUGUUGAUGUGCGCGUCUCUCUUCACAUGGGGCGAAAGACAGAAGAAAGGAACGAGCGCGAAGGGGCUAGGAAGAGGGAAUGGAGUUGGGGAAGACACUUUCGAAGUGCUGAGACGGAGGGGGGGUGUGUGCGCGGAGGUGCACUUCUGCUACCGGACUGCGCACAUGCACGCCUCUCGUUUUGUGUCUGACGGCCCUGCUCGCGUUCAUUGCUUUCUUUCCCGUCGAACACUAACAGAGAAC